rnacentral:rRNA from 1 species
UACGUAGGUGGCAAGCGUUAUUCGGAUUUAUUGGGCGUAAAGGGCGUGCAGGCGGUCUGCUAAGUCCAGGGUGAAAGCUCCCGGCUCAACUGGGAGAGGUCCUUGGAUACUGGCGGACUUGAGGGAGGCAGAGGAAAGUGGAAUUCCCGGUGUAGUGGUGAUAUGCAUAGAUAUCGGGAGGAACACCAGUGGCGAAGGCGGCUUUCUGGGCCUUACCUGACGCUGAGACGCGAAAGCGUGGGGAGCGAACCGG